AGUUCAAAGCGAUAGGCCUGUAAAGGUUUUGUCGUUCCUUGAAGACAGUCCAUCAAAACUAUUAAGGUGUUAAGCGUAUCCCUGGUUUAGAGCUCAGUUUUGCUCUGUGGCUAAAUCAGAAUUCCAUAAAGUGAUCCCAUAUUCUGUCCCGGCACGUAAGUGAGAAAUAAGACCAGGCGCGUUCUUUACCUUUUUAAUCGAGUAUAGUUUGGCUCUGCUUUGUAUUUUGCUAGAGUAAAGCGCCAUGUAGUCCUAUCAUUACUUGUUCCCUCAAGUGGCCGGAAAUCAUUUGGGUGAACGUAGAUUUUUGUCAAGAACCAUGUCUAACGAAGAGGUGAUUGGGAGUACGCAAGCCGCACUCAGUAGAACAUAAACGAUGUAUGCUUGAGAGAAAAAAAAUAAAUAAAUAAAAAAUAAAAUUGAAGUUUAAAAAGUUAGUGCUGAUAACAGAGGUUAUGAAUCAUGUCAUCCCCACGGCGGCCUCAUGAGAGUAUAUAACAUAACAGGUGGCGCUGAGCACACCACGCCAUCAUGAUGAACCACGCUAAAGUAUUCAAGAAGACAGCCCCGAAUGGGAAGCUGACCGUGUACGUGGAGCGCCGGGAGCUUUGCAUCAAGGAGGAUGGCAUCCAGGCCCUUCACGGCGUCCUCUUCGUCGACGCCAACUAUGUCAAGGACAGGAAGGUCUUCGGCCAGUUCGUCCUGACCUUCCGGUACGGCAGGGAAGACGAGGAGGCGGUGAUGGGACUGAGAUUCUGCAACGAAGCGUGUCUGCAGGCGGAGCAGCUGUGGCCGAGACAGAACCCUGACGAACCUUACAAGAACCUUACGCCUCUCCAGGAUACGCUGGUAAAGAGGUUGGGCGCAGGAGCUGUCCCCUUCUCCUUCACCGUGUCUUCCCUGGCGCCUCCUUCCGUGACGCUGCUACCGGCCAGAUCCUACGCAGGAGCUCCCAUCGGAACCAAUUACGACCUGAGAGUCUUUGUCGGCGAGAACCCCGAGGACAAACCCCACAAGCGUUCCUCCAUCCGCAUGGGCAUGAAGCUGUACCAGUGCGCCCCCUCGACCGACAGGAGCCAACCAUACGCUGCCUUCUCCAAGCAGCUCCUCCUCGCGGACGGGCAGGUCGAGGUGGAGGCGACGCUGGACAAGGAGGUGUACGAGCGAGGCGAGAGCAUCAACAUCAACGUCUCCAUUACCAAUCACUCGUCGAGAAACGUUAGGAGGAUCAAGAUUCUCGCCGUGCAAUACGUGGACGUAGCGAUGUUCAGCAACGGCAAGUUCAAGAACGUGGUGGCCGUGAUCGACACAACGGAGGGCUGCCCCGUCAGCUCCGGCUCGAGCCUCAAGCGCCAGUUCCAGCUGACGCCCGCGCGAGGAGCCAUCAAGAACUGGAUCGCCCUCGAGGAGUUCUACGAUCGAGAGAGCGCCCUGGCGUCGACGGUGGCGCGGGUCGACCCUCAGGAGAAGAACGUCUUCGCGAUAUACGUCAAUUAUUACGUUAAGGUCAAACUCUACACCUGUGUCAGAAGCGCCAAAGUCAAGCUGUUUACGAGUGCCAUUGGCGGUGAGGUCAGCGUAAAGGUGCCCUUCAAACUGAUGCGACUGCAGCCUGUUGAUACCGACACUCCUACCAACGCCCUACCUGAGAUUAAGAACUCGAACUCUUCCACGUGUUGACGAGUCACCCAUGCAAAGCUUCCUUCUCCAGCAUGCCAAAAAAUUACUCAGCGCCAACCAAUGGGGCCGCGAUCACUACCUCCCAGUCCAUGUUUGACCUGACCUCGACUGACCAUCGUCGCGGCAGCACGAAGGCACGGAGGUCCCCGCCCUCUAGGUCGACCAGCGAGGACUCCGUGAGGUGUUCCG
rnacentral:misc_RNA from 1 species